CGAUCGGCCCUUUUCAGGGCCAAUAAAACAUUCACUUUUUUUUAGU
rfam:Cerapachys biroi unplaced genomic scaffold scaffold339, whole genome shotgun sequence.